UACAGAGGGUGCGAGCGUUAAUCGGAAUUACUGGGCGUAAAGCGCACGUAGGCGGCUUGGUAUGUCGGGUGUGAAAUCCCCGGGCUCAACCUGGGAACUGCAUCCGAAACUGCCUUGCUAGAGUAUGGGAGAGGGAAGUGGAAUUUCCGGGUGUAGCGGUGAAAUGCGCAGAUAUCAGGAGGAACACCGGUGGCGAAGGCGGAUCUCUGGGCCGAUACUGACGCUGAGGAGCGAAAGCGUGGGGAGCGAACAGG
rnacentral:rRNA from 1 species